CUUAGAGUGCCCAUUUAUAUUCUCUGAACAUGUGAAACACAGGUAAAAAAAAAAAAUACAAUUAUGUGGCUAAUGAAGGCACUAAAAGCUUUGUAAUGUCAGUGUGAAUUAUACCUGCAGAGAUUAUAACAUCGUAAAAGAUGUGCCACAGCAGAGAAACUCGACACGUUAUGUGCCACGUUUUCAACAUCCCUAAGAUAACAAAACUGGUGUUAAAAAAAAAAUAAUAAAAAAAAAAAAAUGUAAAAAGCAAGAAAAACCUACAACAUAAAAAACAAAUACAAUAAAUAAAACAACCUUCCCCUCCCCCCACCAAAAAAAAACAUGUUUAAAAAAUAAAAUAAAAAAAUGACAAAGAUAUAUUUCAAUACAAAAUAGUGAGGAAGAAAUGCAUGAUGAAAAAGUCUGCCAUCUAGUGUUCAAAGAUUUUAAUGUAACUAUCACGUACGAAAAACCUCCUCUAAAACUAAAGUAUAACAGCUUAAUGAAGUGGUCUGGGUGCCAGGUCCAGCUAGGUUUAACCCUUUUUUCUAUAAACAUAGCAGUUUCAGAGAAACUGCUAUGUUUAUAAUACGGUUAAUCCAGCCUCUAGUGGCUG